rnacentral:rRNA from 1 species
UACAGGGGGGGCAAGCGUUAUUCGGAAUUAUUGGGCGUAAAGGGCGCGUAGGCGGCCUGGCAAGUGGAAGGUGAAAUCCCUCGGCUUAACCGAGGAACUGCCCUCCAAACUGCUUGGCUUGAGUCCGGGAGAGGUGAGUGGAAUUCCCAGUGUAGCGGUGAAAUGCGCAGAUAUCGGGAAGAACACCCGUGGCGAAGGCGGUUCUCUGGGACGGUACUGACGCUGAGACGCGAAAGCGUGGGGAGCGAACAGG